UACGAAGGGUGCUAGCGUUGUUCGGAUUUACUGGGCGUAAAGCGUGCGUAGGUGGCUUUACAAGUCAGGGGUGAAAUCCUGGGGCUCAACCCCAGAAUUGCCUUUGAAACUGUAGAGCUAGAGUAUCGGAGGGGAUAGCGGAAUUGCUAAUGUAGAGGUGAAAUUCGUAGAUAUUAGCAGGAACACCGGUGGCGAAGGCGGCUAUCUGGACGACAACUGACGCUGAGGCGCGAAAGCGUGGGGAUCAAACAGG
rnacentral:rRNA from 1 species